AUUUGGUGUCAGUGGUGGGAUUGAAGGAGGCUUCUGACAGCUCUGGGGACAGUAAGAAACACAGGUGUGGUACCCACAAACACUGCUGGGUUCUGUCUUUCUCACCAUUUCCCAGGGCCAUAGGUUUACUUCAGCAUUAUUUACAAUAGCCAAGACGUGGAAACAACCUAAAUGUCCAUCAAGAGACCAAUGGAUGAAGGAAAUGCGGUGUAUAUACACACUGGAAUAUUACACAGCCAUAAAAAGGAUGAAAUCGUGCCAUUUGAAACAACAUGGAUGGACCUGGAGGGUAUUAUGGUUAAAGCUUUCCUGGAUCCCAAUUCAAAGGAUCCUGAUGGUCACAGUCUAGAUGGAGCCUGGCAACUAGAUAUUCUGGAAACAUCAUCGGCGGAAGAGAAUUGUUGAACCCCAUUAGAAGGAACCUUACCAAGU